GAUGAACGCUGACAGAAUGCUUAACACAUGCAAGUCAACUUGAAUUUGGGUUUUUAACUUCGGUUUGGGUGGCGGACGGGUGAGUAACGCGUAAAGAACUUGCCUCACAGCUAGGGACAACAUUUGGAAACGAAUGCUAAUACCUAAUAUUAUGAUAAUAGGGCAUCCUAUAAUUAUGAAAGCUAUAAGCGCUGUGAGAGAGCUUUGCGUCCCAUUAGCUAGUUGGAGAGGUAACGGCUCACCAAGGCGAUGAUGGGUAGCCGGCCUGAGAGGGUGAUCGGCCACAAGGGGACUGAGACACGGCCCUUACUCCUACGGGAGGCAGCAGUGGGGAAUAUUGGACAAUGGACCGAGAGUCUGAUCCAGCAAUUCUGUGUGCACGAUGAAGUUUUUCGGAAUGUAAAGUGCUUUCAGUUGGGAAGAAACAAAUGACGGUACCAACAGAAGAAGAGACGGCUAAAUACGUG
rnacentral:rRNA from 1 species